GACGGGGGGGGCAAGUGUUCUUCGGAAUGACUGGGCGUAAAGGGCACGUAGGCGGUGAAUCGGGUUGAAAGUGAAAGUCGCCAAAAAGUGGCGGAAUGCUCUCGAAACCAAUUCACUUGAGUGAGACAGAGGAGAGUGGAAUUUCGUGUGUAGGGGUGAAAUCCGUAAAUAUACGAAGGAACGCCAAAAGCGAAGGCAGCUCUCUGGGUCCCUACCGACGCUGGGGUGCGAAAGCUAGGGUAGCAAACGGG
rnacentral:rRNA from 1 species